GCUCAGAGCGAACGCUGGCGGCAGGCCUAACACAUGCAAGUCGAACGAACUCUUCGGAGUUAGUGGCGGACGGGUGAGUAACACGUGGGAACGUGCCUUUAGGUUCGGAAUAACUCAGGGAAACUUGUGCUAAUACCGAAUGUGCCCUUCGGGGGAAAGAUUUAUCGCCUUUAGAGCGGCCCGCGUCUGAUUAGCUAGUUGGUGAGGUAAAGGCUCACCAAGGCGACGAUCAGUAGCUGGUCUGAGAGGAUGAUCAGCCACAUUGGGACUGAGACACGGCCCAAACUCCUACGGGAGGCAGCAGUGGGGAAUCUUGCGCAAUGGGCGAAAGCCUGACGCAGCCAUGCCGCGUGAAUGAUGAAGGUCUUAGGAUUGUAAAAUUCUUUCAGUAGGGACGAUAAUGACGGUACCUACAGAAGAAGCCCCGGCUAACUUCGUGCCAGCAGCCGCGGUAAUACGAAGGGGGCUAGCGUUGCUCGGAAUUACUGGGCGUAAAGGGAGCGUAGGCGGACAUUUAAGUCAGGGGUGAAAUCCCGGGGCUCAACCUCGGAAUUGCCUUUGAUACUGGGUGUCUUGAGUGUGAGAGAGGUAUGUGGAACUCCGAGUGUAGAGGUGAAAUUCGUAGAUAUUCGGAAGAACACCAGUGGCGAAGGCGACAUACUGGCUCAUUACUGACGCUGAGGCUCGAAAGCGUGGGGAGCAAACAGGAUUAGAUACCCUGGUAGUCCACGCCGUAAACGAUGAUUGCUAGUUGUCGGGAUGCAUGCAUUUCGGUGACGCAGCUAACGCAUUAAGCAAUCC
rnacentral:rRNA from 1 species